rnacentral:rRNA from 1 species
CGGAAGAGAUAACCGCUGAAAGCAUCUAAGCGGGAAACUCGCCUGAAGAUGAGGAUUCCCUGGAGGCUUGACCUCCUUGAAGGGUCGUUCGAGACCAGGACGUGAUAGGCUGGGUGUGGAAGCGCAGUAAUGCGUUAAGCUAACCAGUACUAAUUGCCCGUAAGGCUUGAUCCUAUAACCAGUGUGUUUUG